GAAAGACUGGAGACAGAAGAGAAAGCAGUCCUACUAGAUUUGUGUCUACAAGCAGCACUAGAUCACAGAGAAACAUUCCAGAGAACUGUGAACACACUGCUGUCACUGUUCUCUGUGUAUCAAACUGAGAGAUAUGACAUCCUGCUGGAUCUGUACUCUCAUGUGAAGUACAAUAGGAAUCAAACAGCCAGGAGUGUCCUUCCAUCAUUGCAGCCACUUUACCAGUCAGCUCCUGCAGUCUGGUCCAUAGACCUCUCAGAGAGAAAGACCUCCCUCCUCCUAGAAGUGCUGAAACUCCAACCAGGGAAGAAACCAGUAGAGCUGAAGGGCUGGUCAGAUGAAGAGAGUGAAGUGAGGAGUUUCCUUCAGUGUCUGUCCUACAUCUCACAGCUGAGAUUUUCUCCACUGAAGGAUAACAUAAAUAGGAGAAAGAGAGACAAGACAUUCCUACUGAAUCUGUGUCUUCAAGCAGCUCUCCAUGAGAGAGGAACCAUACAAACAACUGUAGAGAAAGUGUUGUCGCUGUCUAAAGUAUAUCACAAUCAGAAAUGUGAUUUCCUGCUGGAUCUGAUCUCACAUGCGAAGGACUAUGAGACUCAAACAGGCAGGAUGGUCCUUCCAGCAUUACAGCCACUUUACCAGUCAGCUCCUGCAGUCUGGUCCAUAGACCUCUCAGAGAGAAAGGCCUCCCUCCUCCUAGAAGUGCUGAAACUCCAACCAGAGCAGAAACCAGUAGAGCUGAAGGGCUGGUCAGAUGAAGAGAGUGAAGUGAGGAGUUUCCUUCAGUGUCUGUCCUACAUCUCACAGCUGAGUUUUAUUCCUCCACAGGAUCAGAGAAGAUCCCCUGAAGAGAGGACAAGGAGAGAGAAGACAUUCCUACUGAAUCUGUGUCUUCAAGCAGUUCUCCAUGAGAGAGGAACCAUACAAACAACUGUAGAGAAAGUGGUGUCACUGUCUGAAGUAUAUCACAACCAGAAAUGUGAUUUCCUGCUGGAUCUGAUCUCACAUGUGAAGGACUAUGAGACUCAAACAGGCAGGAGUGUCCUUCCAGCAUUACAGCCAGUUUACCAGUCAGCUCCUGCAGUCUGGUCCAUAGACCUCUCAGAGAGAAAGGCCUCCCUCCUCCUAGAAGUGCUGAAACUCCAACCAGAGAAGAAACCAGUAGAGCUGAAGGGCUGGUCAGAUGAAGAGAGUGAAGUGAGGAGUUUCCUUCAGUGUCUGUCCCACAUCUCACAGCUGAGUUUCUAUACAGACUGGUCUGAUUCCUCAAAGCUGAUCAAGUUCCUGGUGGAUCUCCUGUCUCAAGCAGCAGAGUGGGAGGAGCAGACAGGAGAGAAGACACUGAAGCUGGUAUCAUCAGUGUGGACUUACAGCACCUUUCCUUAUCGCCAUGGAGACAAUUAUAAACAGAGUGAUUUCCUGUUGGAUCUGUACUCACAUGUGAAGGACUAUGAGACUCAAACAGGCAGGAGUGUCCUUCCAGCAUUACAGCCAGUUUACCAGUCAGCUCCUGCAGUCUGGUCCAUAGACCUCUCAGAGAGAAAGGCCUCCCUCCUCCUAGAAGUGCUGAAACUCCAACCAGAGAAGAAACCAGUAGAGCUGAAGGGCUGGUCAGAUGAAGAGAGUGAAGUGAGGAGUUUCCUUCAGUGUCUGUCCUACAUCUCACAGCUGAGUUUCCAUCCAUGGAGGUCUGAUCCCUCAAAGCAGAUCAAGUUCCUGGUGGAUCUCCUGUCUCAAGCAGCAGAGUGGGAGGAGCAGACAGGAGAGAAGACACUGAAGCUGGUAUCAUCAGUGUGUACUUACAGCACCUUUCCCUUCUGUGAAUGGGAUCAUGAUGUUGAGGUAUAUCAAUGUGAUUUCCUGUUGGAUCUGUACUCACAUGUGAAGGACUCUGAGACUCAAACAGGCAGGAGUGUCUUUCCAGCAUUACUGCCAGUUUACCAGUCAGCUCCUGCAGUCUGGUCCAUAGACCUCAGAAAGAGAAAGGCCUCCCUCCUCCUAGAAGUGCUGAAACUCCAACCAGGGAAGAAACCAGUAGAGCUGAAGGGCUGGUCAGAUGAAGAGAGUGAAGUGAGGAGUUUCCUUCAGUGUCUGUCCUACAUCUCACAGCUGAGAUUUCCUCUACUGAAGGAUAAUAUAGAGACAAGAAAGAGAGAGAAGACAUUCCUACUGAAUCUGUGUCUUCAAGCAGUCCUCCAUGAGAGAGGAACCAUACAAACAACUGUAGAGAAAGUGUUGUCGCUGUCUAAAGUAUAUCGCUUUCAGAAAUGUGAUUUCCUGCUGGAUCUGUACUCACAUGUGAAGGACUAUGAGACUCAAACAGGCAGGAGUUUCCUACCAGCAUUACAGCCAUCUCCUGCAGUCUGGUCCAUAGACCUCUCAGAGAGAAAGGCCUCCCUCCUCCUAGAAGUGCUGAAACUCCAACCAGAGAAGAAACCAGUUGAGCUGAAGGACUGGUCAGAUGAAGAGAGUGAAAUGAGGAGUUUCCUUCAGUGUCUGCCCUACAUCUCACAGCUUAGUUUCUGUCCACGGAGGUCUGAUCCCUCAGAGCAGAUCAAGUUCCUGGUGGAUCUCCUGUCUCAAGCAGCAGAGUGGGAGGAGCAGACAGGAGAGAAGACACUGAAGCUGGUAUCAUCAGUGUGUUCUUACAGCACCUUUCCUUUUCUCAAUGGAGACAAUUCUCAACAGAGUAAUUUCCUGCUGGAUCUGUACUCACAUGUGAAGGACUAUGAGACUCAAACAGGCAGGAGUGUCCUUCCAGCAUUACAGCCAGUUUACCAGUCAGCUCCUGCAGUCUGGUCCAUAGACCUCUCAGAGAGAAAGGCCUCCCUCCUCCUAAAAGUGCUGAAACUCCAACCAGAGAAGAAACCAGUAGAGCUGAGGGGCUGGUCAGAUGAAGAGAGUGAAGUGAGGAGUUUCCUUCAGUGUCUGUCCUAUAUCUCACAGCUGAGUUUUAUUCCUCCACAGGAUCAGAGAAGAUCCCCUGAAGAGAGGACAAGGAGAGAGAAGACAUUCCUACUGAAUCUGUGUCUUCAAGCAGUUCUCCAUGAGAGAGGAACCAUACAAACAACUGUAGAGAAAGUGUUGUCACUGUCUAAAGUAUAUCGCUUUCAGAAAUGUGAUUUCCUGCUGGAUCUGUACUCACAUGUGAAGGACUCUGAGACUCAAACAGGCAGGAGUUUCCUUCCAGCAUUACAGCCAGUUUACCAGUCAGCUCCUGCAGUCUGGUCCAUAGACCACAGAAAGAGAAAGGCCUCCCUUCUCCUAGAAGUGCUGAAACUCCAACCAGAGAAGAAACCAGUAGAGCUGAAGGGCUGGUCAGAUGAAGAGAGUGAAAUGAGGAGUUUCCUUCAGUGUCUGUCCUACAUCUCACAGCUGAGUUUCUAUACAGACUGGUCUGAUUCCUCAAAGCAGAUCAAGUUCCUGGUGGAUCUCCUGUCUCAAGCAGCAGAGUGGGAGGAGCAGACAGGAGAGAAGACACUGAAGCUGGUAUCAUCAGUGUGGACUUACAGCACCUUUCCCUUCUGUGAUGAUGAUGAUGAUGAUGAUGAUGAUGAUGGUGACGAUAAUAAGGAAUAUCAAUGUGAUUUCCUGCUGGAUCUGUACUCACAUGUGAAGGACUCUGAGACUCAAACAGGCAGGAGUUUCCUACCAGCAUUACAGCCAGUUUACCAGUCAGCUCCUGCAGUCUGGUCCAUAGACCUCUCAGAGAGAAAGGCCUCCCUCCUCCUAGAAGUGCUGAAACUCCAACCAGACAAAAAACCAGUAGAGCUGAAGGACUGGUCAGAUGAAGAGAGUGAAGUGAGGAGUUUCCUUCAGUGUCUGCCCUACAUCUCACAGCUGAGGUGAGUCUGAACAUGUGGUGGUUAGUGAUCAUGUGAUGCUAGUGGCUAUUAUCUUGUAGAAACAUUUGACAUAUUAAACUUCAAGUGUUGGUAAACC
ensembl:lncRNA